rnacentral:tRNA from 1 species
GGAGAGGUGGCUGAGUGGUCGAAAGCGGCUUCCUGCUAAGAAGUUAUACCGGGUUAACUGGUAUCGGGGGUUCGAAUCCCCCCCUCUCCGC